AGUGAACGCUGGCGGUAGGCCUAACACAUGCAAGUCGAACGGCAGCACAGUAAGAGCUUGCUCUUACGGGUGGCGAGUGGCGGACGGGUGAGGAAUACAUCGGAAUCUACUUUUUCGUGGGGGAUAACGUAGGGAAACUUACGCUAAUACCGCAUACGACCUACGGGUGAAAGCAGGGGAUCUUCGGACCUUGCGCGAUUGAAUGAGCCGAUGUCGGAUUAGCUAGUUGGCGGGGUAAAGGCCCACCAAGGCGACGAUCCGUAGCUGGUCUGAGAGGAUGACCAGCAACAAUGGAACUGUGACACGGUCCAGACUCCUACGGGAGGAAGCAGUGGGGAAUAUUGGACAAAGGGAGCAAGCCUGAUCAAGCCAUACCGCGUAGGUGAAGAAGGCCUUCGGGUUGUAAAGCCCUUUUGUUGGGAAAGAAAAGCAGCAGGUUAAUACCCAGCUGUCCUGACGGUACCCAAAGAAUAAGCACCGGCUAACUUCGUG
rnacentral:rRNA from 1 species